rnacentral:snoRNA from 1 species
GCAUGGCUGAAUUCUGUGUUACUUUGAAUGUAGUAUAUACAGUCAGACACCAUGCUAAAUUACUGCUCUCACAAACUGGCACGACAAGAUCAGAGUGGUUAUUACGUCCCUCGUUCUUAUGUCAGAGUGACAACACAU